CGUAGGUGGCUAGCGUUGUCCGGAUUUACUGGGCGUAAAGAGCGCGCAGGCGGUCGUUCAAGUCGAGUGUGAAAGCCCCCGGCUCAACUGGGGAGGGUCACUCGAUACUGAUCGACUCGAAGGCAGGAGAGGGAAGCGGAAUUCCCGGUGUAGUGGUGAAAUGCGUAGAUAUCGGGAGGAACACCAGUGGCGAAGGCGGCUUUCUGGCCUGUUCUUGACGCUGAGGCGCGAAAGCUAGGGUAGCAAACGGGAUUAGAUACCCCGGUAGUCCUAGCCGUAAACGAUGGACACUAGGUGUUGGUGGUAUCAACCCCGCCAGUGCCGAAGCUAACGCAUUAAGUGUCCCGCCUGGGGAGUACGGCCGCAAGGCUA
rnacentral:rRNA from 1 species